rnacentral:rRNA from 1 species
CCUACGGGAGGCAGCAGUGAGGAAUAUUGGUCAAUGGACGAGAGUCUGAACCAGCCAAGUAGCGUGAAGGAUGAAUGCCCUAUGGGUUGUAAACUUCUUUUAUAUGGGAAUAAAAUGUUCCACGUGUGGGAUUUUGUAUGUACCAUAUGAAUAAGGAUCGGCUAACUCCGUGCCAGCAGCCGCGGUAAUACGGAGGAUCCGAGCGUUAUCCGGAUUUAUUGGGUUUAAAGGGAGCGUAGGUGGAUUGUUAAGUCAGGUGUGAAAGUUUGCGGCUCAACCGUAAAAUUGCAGUUGAAACUGGCAGUCUUGAGUACAGUAGAGGUGGGCGGAAUUCGUGGUGUAGCGGUGAAAUGCUUAGAUGUCACGAAGAACUCCGAUUGCGAAGGCAGUUCACUGGACUGCAACUGACACUGAGGCUCGAAAGUGUGGGUAUCAAACAGGAUUAGAUACCCGUGUAGUC